rnacentral:rRNA from 1 species
GUGAGGAAUUUUCCGCAAUGGGCGAAAGCCUGACGGAGCAAUGCCGCGUGAAGGAUGAAGGCCUAUGGGUUGUAAACUUCUUUUCUCAGAAAAGAAUUAUGACGGUAUCUGAGGAAUAAGCAUCGGCUAACUCUGUGCCAGCAGCCGCGGUAAGACAGAGGAUGCAAGCGUUAUCCGGAAUGAUUGGGCGUAAAGCGUCUGUAGGUUGUUUAAAAAGUAUUCUGUCAAAGAUUAGGGCUUAACCCUAGAUAGGCAGAAUAAACUUUUAAGCUAGAGUUUGGUAGAGGCAGAGGGAAUUCCCGGUGGAGCGGUGAAAUGCGUAGAUAUCGGGAGGAACACCAAAGGCGAAGGCACUCUGCUGGGCCAAUACUAACACUGCGAGACGAAAGCGAGGGGAGCAAAUGGGAUUAGAAACCCGGGUAGUCC